rnacentral:ncRNA from 1 species
GAAUGGCCAUGCCGGAGCUCGUUCUGAGAUUAUACGGCCCAAAACUUGAUCUGGAUAAUACCAGCGAAAGGAUCAUGCUCUAUUAGCCUA